CCUGUAACAAGUUCUCUGAUUUCCAGAUCUGUAGUCUUCCGAAGCAAUCGUACCAAUGCUGGAAUACCUCCACAAUUUUUUAGGGCAAUUUUGUUAUCAUCAUUGGCUUUGCCAUAUACUAAGUUCCUCAAAGCUCCACAAGCACUACGGUGAACUUCAGUCAUUCGAUGAUCUAGCAGAUCUACCAAUAACUGAAUACCUCCUUGUCUUCUUAUCU